GAUGAACGCUGGCGGCGUGCCUAACACAUGCAAGUCGAACGGAGUAUUCGGAUGAAGUUUUCGGAUGGAUUUGAGAUACUUAGUGCGGACGGGUGAGUAACGCGUGGGCAACCUGCCCAUACCGGGGGAUAACAGCCGGAAACGGCUGCUAAAACCGCAUACGAUGCAGAAGUCGCAUGACUACUGCAUGAAAUAUUCAUAGGUAUGGGAUGGGCCCGCGUCUGAUUAGCUAGUUGGUGAGGUAACGGCUCACCAAGGCGACGAUCAGUAGCCGGCUUGAGAGAGUGACCGGCCACAUUGGGACUGAGACACGGCCCAAACUCCUACGGGAGGCAGCAGUGGGGAAUAUUGCACAAUGGGGGAAACCCUGAUGCAGCGACGCCGCGUGAGUGAAGAAGUAUUUCGGUAUGUAAAGCUCUAUCAGCAGGGAAGAAGAAAGACGGUACCUGACUAAGAAGCCCCGGCUAACUACGUG
rnacentral:rRNA from 1 species